UACGAAGGGUGCUAGCGUUGUUCGGAAUCAUUGGGCGUAAAGCGAGUGUAGGCUGUUUAUUAAGUCGGGUGUGAAAUCCCUCGGCUCAACCGAGGAAGUGCAUCCGAAACUGAUAAACUAGAAGACGGUAGAGGAAGGUGGAAUUCCAAGUGUAGAGGUGAAAUUCGUAGAUAUUUGGAGGAAUACCUGUGGCGAAGGCGGCCUUCUGGGCCGUUCUUGACGCUGAGACUCGAAAGCGUGGGUAGCAAACAGG
rnacentral:rRNA from 1 species